CAAUCAGUUGAUAAAAUCUACUUUUUUUUCUCAUUUUUCACAUGCAAAUACAUCAAUAUACAGAAGUAAAAUAUAUUGAUAUUAAAUCUUAAUGAGCCCUUAAUGUAAUCUUAAUGUAGUAAAGAGUAAUUCAUAAUGUUUAAUGAAUAGGCCCACAUUAAUGAAUUAUGAUGUGAUUUACCAACAAACAAUUGACAGCAGUACAAGUACAGUGUUACACUUAAUUUAUUGCAUCCCUGAUCCACCUGAAGUAGGUGAGCCCUGUCCAUGCAGUUCCUCUGUCAUCCUGCAGGGGGCAACAGAGAGUGGUGUGUUUCAACUGCAGGGUCUGCUUGAUUGACAAUAACAGACUGCUGACACUCUGACAAACCAUGCUAGGUAUUUAUCAGUGGGGACUUCCCAUUGGAAAUAAGUUUUGAGUACAAUCUCAGUGUAUUUUAUUAUGCUUCUUUAUGUUAUUUGGUCUUUAAUCUCACAGGGCUACUUUAUGAAGCAAAGCAGUCUAAACUACAGUAACUCGGCACAGAUGAAUCAGAUCCAUUAGACAUUCCAGUGGGCUAUUUACAAACUGUGCGGCAUUAAAUCUGCUUGAGGAUAUGGGUUUAAACACGACAAAUAUAGGAGUGCCCUUUAGGGGAGGAAAAAAACUCAACUCAUAGAAAGCUCAGUGUGAAUCUCUGUUCCUAGGCAACGGAAACUUAAAAUACAAUUAAUAAUAUGGGAAUUUGCUAUUUUGAAAUCCAAUCACUCACUUGAUUUGCCUGGGAAUUGGCUUUGUCUGAGGACAUUAAAUACGGCAGAUCCUGUCAUCGACACAUUUAAGCCUGGUUAGGUGAGGCUCUUGAAGGGUCCUAAUCCUGAGCCUGUGUGGCCCUUGGUGAUGAAUGAAGGAGGAGUACUUCAUAAGCACUCUGUUUCUCUCAUGCGUCUUUCUGCAGGGGGAAGCUCUAGAGAGAGGAGAUGUCAGCGGUGUUGAACUAUCCACAUACACCCGUCCCACUCCACCCCAAGGCACUGGACUCCACCGCUACCAGUUCCUUGUAUUUGAGCAGCCUGAAGGCCAGAGCUUGUCCCUCAGCCCAAAGGAGAAGAGCUCACUGGGUAACUGGGAUCUGCAGGCAUUUGUUGAAAACGUCUGGUCUGGCUAGACCAGUGGCGUCACACCAGUUCCUCACCCAAAACCACAAGGACUAGAAGACACCUCCAACCUGCAACUCACUUUGACCUCUGGCUUUCACACACUCUAUGGCUUGUUUUUUUCCCAAUAUCCGGAAUGAAUGUAUUGCACCUUAGUAUUUAGAUGAAUGUUAAACUCUUGUCUGAAUUAUAACUUGUAUUAAUGUGUUUGAUGUAAUGUCACAUAUCUCAUAUUAGUGGUUAAACGGAUCGUAGUUGAUCCGUGAUCAAUACGGACCAAGCCCCACGGUUCGGCACGCAUGUGAUCCGUGGAUUAAUUGCAAAAUUUUACCAUAAUAGAGUAUAACUUUAAAAUUUGUUCGUAUUUACACACACAAGCGAAUUUUAAACAAUUCCAGAAGCGAAGCGCGUAACACGAACACCGAACUAAAUCCUCUUCUGAAUCCUCUGAACAAACACAUACACAUAAAAUAAUGACAAAACACCCAUCUCGACAAUCAUUCAGGUAAACGCAGUCAGUUAUGUCUGAAGUGAAUGAAAACAGCUGAGAAAGAAAUCAGAUGUGAUGUGUAUCAUUAUAUCAGAUCUGUGCAUCAGGUCUUAAAGGGACAGCGGCCUAUAAAUACUGCUGCUGUCAUUAAUGGUCAUCAAACAACAAAACAGCUGUGAUAAAAAUCUAUAUUUAAUUUAUACAAUGAACACUAUGCAGAAUAACAUUACAUUUCUGUAUUUGAAUACUACCAACCUUAUUUUAUAUGUAACAUAUUCUGUUGUAUUUAUCUAUGAUUGUAAUUUGUGUAUUUGUUCUUAUUUUUACUGGCUGUUUUGUUGUCUCUUAAAUCAUGUUUAAACUUUCUUAGUUAAUCUAGUAGUAUUUGCUGUGCUAUCAAAGAAGUACUUCGCUUUAAGUAAUAAAUGUAAAGCAAGUUAAAUUGAAAUAUUUUAU
ensembl:lncRNA